rnacentral:rRNA from 1 species
AGGAUGAACGCUGGCGGCGUGCCUAACACAUGCAAGUCGAACGUCCUGUCUCGCAAGAGGCAGGGAGUGGCGGACGGGUGAGUACCACGUGGGUCAUCUACCGUGAGGUGAGGAAUACCGGCGAGAAAUCGCCGACAAGACCGCAUAGGCUCGAUGUAAGUCGAGCAAAGCUCUUUCGAGAGAGGGAGCGCCACACGAGGAGCCUGCGCCCGAUUAGCUAGCUGGUGGAGUAAUGGUUCACCAGGGCGACGAUCGGUAGCUGGUCUGAGAGGACGAUCAGCCACACUGGGAUUGAGAACGGCCCAGACUCCUACGGGGGGCAGCAGUGAGGAAUUUUCGUCAAUGGGGGCAACCCUGAACGAGCAACGCCGCGUGCAGGAAGAGGUUUUCGGAUCGUAAACUGCUUUUCUCGGGAAGAGAAUGGACGGUACCCGAGGAAUCAGCCCCGGCUAACUACGUGCCAGCAGCCGCGGU